rnacentral:rRNA from 1 species
GAUGAACGCUGGCGGCGUGCCUAAUACAUGCAAGUCGAGCGAACAGACGAGGAGCUUGCUCCUUUGACGUUAGCGGCGGACGGGUGAGUAACACGUGGAUAACCUACCUAUAAGACUGGGAUAACUUCGGGAAACCGGAGCUAAUACCGGAUAACAUGUUGAACCGCAUGGUUCAACAGUGAAAGACGGUCUUGCUGUCACUUAUAGAUGGAUCCGCGCCGCAUUAGCUAGUUGGUAAGGUAACGGCUUACCAAGGCAACGAUGCGUAGCCGACCUGAGAGGGUGAUCGGCCACACUGGAACUGAGACACGGUCCAGACUCCUACGGGAGGCAGCAGUAGGGAAUCUUCCGCAAUGGGCGAAAGCCUGACGGAGCAACGCCGCGUGAGUGAAGAAGGUCUUCGGAUCGUAAAACUCUGUUAUUCGGGAAGAACAAAUGUGUAAGUAACUAUGCACGUCUUGACGGUACCUAAUCAGAAAGCCACGGCUAACUACGUG